AACAUUGCAGCUUGAGGAUGCAUUUGUGCCCAGCUAAUUGUACCCUGAGUGUAUCACGAUGACCACCACAAAGCAUCACGUCUUGGUGAAGAUCAUAUACUAGAUCUUGGGUCAUCUGAAGAGUUUGGACCACCAAAACAAAAUGGUUCAAUAAUGCUAUGUGCUACGGAAAAGCCCUAUUCAUGGGAUAAUUCCAUUGGCUCUGAGCCGUAGAAUAAAAUGCCGGUCCUAACAAUAAAACCAUAUGUUCUGUAAUUUUAAUAAUUGUGAGUAAUGAAUAUUUGCACCUGUAAUCUCUUCCACAUUGGAGCUUGAUAGCAUCUUUCUCUGGCAAGUGCACAAAAGUAAUCUUUUCGACCAUCUUCCAUUUGGAAUCUUCCUCUUGCCC
rnacentral:lncRNA from 1 species